rnacentral:rRNA from 1 species
UACGGGGGGGGCAAGCGUUGUUCGGAAUUACUGGGCGUAAAGGGCGCGUAGGCGGCUUUUCAAGUCGGGCGUGAAAUCUCCGGGCUUAACCCGGAAGGGUCGUUCGAUACUGUUGAGCUAGAGUGUGGAAGAGGCAACUAGAAUUCCGUGUGUAGCGGUGAAAUGCGUAGAUAUACGGAGGAAUACCUGAGGCGAAGGCGGGUUGCUGGACCGGUAUUGACGCUGAGGAGCGAAAGCCAGGGGAGCAAACGGG